CCUACGGGAGGCAGCAGUGAGGAAUAUUGGACAAUGGGCGCAAGCCUGAUCCAGCCAUGCCGCGUGCAGGAAGACGGUCCUAUGGAUUGUAAACUGCUUUUAUACAGGAAGAAAUACUUUCUCGUGAGAGAGCUUGACGGUACUGUAAGAAUAAGGAUCGGCUAACUCCGUGCCAGCAGCCGCGGUAAUACGGAGGAUCCAAGCGUUAUCCGGAAUCAUUGGGUUUAAAGGGUCCGUAGGCGGUUUAAUAAGUCAGUGGUGAAAUCUGGUCGCUCAACGAUCAAACGGCCAUUGAUACUGUUAGACUUGAAUUAUUGUGAAGUAACUAGAAUAUGUAGUGUAGCGGUGAAAUGCUUAGAUAUUACAUGGAAUACCAAUUGCGAAGGCAGGUUACUAACAAUGGAUUGACGCUGAUGGACGAAAGCGUGGGGAGCGAACAGGAUUAGAUACCCUGGUAGUCCACGCCGUAAACGAUGGAUACUAGCUGUUGGGCGCAAGUUCAGUGGCUAAGCGAAAGUGAUAAGUAUCCCACCUGGGGAGUACGUUCGCAGAAUGAAACUCAAAGGAUUGACGGCUGAGACCGAGCGAGACGACGACGAGGGAGGAGG
rnacentral:rRNA from 1 species